GACGAACGCUGGCGGCGUGCUUAACACAUGCAAGUCGAACGGAAAGGCCCUGCUUUUGUGGGGUGCUCGAGUGGCGAACGGGUGAGUAACACGUGAGUAACCUGCCCUUGACUUUGGGAUAACUUCAGGAAAAUGGGGCUAAUACCGGAUAGGAGCUCCUGCUGCAUGGUGGGGGUUGGAAAGUUUCGGCGGUUGGGGAUGGACUCGCGGCUUAUCAGCUUGUUGGUGGGGUAGUGGCUUACCAAGGCUUUGACGGGUAGCCGGCCUGAGAGGGUGACCGGCCACAUUGGGAACGAGAUACGGCCCAGACUCCUACAGGAGGCAGCAGUGGGGAAUAUUGCACAAGGGGCGGAAGCCUGAUGCAGCAACGCCGCGUGCGGGAUGACGGCCUUCGGGUUGUAAACCGCUUUCGCCUGUGACGAAGCGUGAGUGACGGUAAUGGGUAGAGGAGCACCGGCUAACUACGUG
rnacentral:rRNA from 1 species